CUUGCGGUGGGGUCUGUGUGUGCAUGUGUGUGAGCUUGCGGUGGGGUCUGUGUGUGAUCUUGCGGUGGGGUCUGUGUGUGUGUGUGUGUGUGUGUGUGUCCCAACAAUGUGUGUUCUCUCAUGUCUAGGAUGUGAAGGCCAUAGUGACUCGUUUUACAGUGUGUGUGUGUGUGUGUGACGUGAAAUAUGGGUGCCAUGAGGGGUAACUAUAGAGGAGGUGUAGAGGAGCCUCAACAACCUAUUAAUAACACUGCAGGAGGUCUCUGGAGGUCUCAGGAAAACUCAGGUGGGUUUCAGGGGGUCUCUGGAGGUCUCUGAAGGUCUCUGGAGGUCUCAGGAAAACUCAGGCGGGUUUCGGGGUCUCAGGAGGUUUUAGAAGUCUCUGGAGGUCUCUGGGUCUCAGGUCUCAGGAAGUAUCAGAAGGUAUCAGGGGUUUUCAGGAAGUAUCAGAAGGUAUCAGGGGUUCUCAGGAAGUAUCAGAAGGUAUCAGGGGGUCUCAGGAAGUAUCAGAAGGUAUCAGGGGUUUUCAGGAAGUAUCAGAAGGUAUCAGGGGUUCUCAGGAAGUAUCAGAAGGUAUCAGGGGUUUUCAGGAAGUAUCAGAAGGUAUCAGGGGUUCUCAGGAAGUAUCAGAAGGUAUCAGGGGUUUUCAGGAAGUAUCAGAAG
rnacentral:lncRNA from 1 species